rnacentral:ncRNA from 1 species
UGCCUCCUAACAUUGCGAAGUGGAACCCACAAAGUGUUGGAUUGUUCACCCACUAAUAGGGAAUGUGAACUGGGAUUAGACAAUCGUGAGACAAGUC